AGAAUCAACGCUGGCGGCGUGCCUAACACAUGCAAGUCGAACGCGAAAGUCCCGCAAGGGGCAAGUAGAGUGGCAAACGGGUGAGUAACACGUGGGUGACCUGCCUUCGAGUGGGGGAUAACGUCCCGAAAGGGACGCUAAUACCGCAUGACAUCCUGUCCUUAGACGGACGGAGAUCAAAGCUGGGGAUCGCAAGACCUGGCGCUUGAAGAGGGGCCCGCGCCUGAUUAGCUAGUUGGUGAGGUAACGGCUCACCAAGGCUACGAUCAGUA
rnacentral:rRNA from 1 species